rnacentral:rRNA from 1 species
UUAAAGGAAAUUGACGGAAGAACACCACAAGGAGUGGAGUGUGCGGCUUAAUUUGACUCAACGCGGGACAACUUACCGGGUCCGACGACCGUAAGAGUGUGACACACGAUAGGUCGAAGAGUGGUGCAUGGCCGUUAACGACGAGUGGAGUGAUCUUUGGGGUAAGUCCGUAAAUUAGUGAGACCUCAGCCGUAAGGGACAGGUGCGCAAAGCACAGGAAGGAUGGGUCAAGGACAGGUCAGUGAUGCCCUUAGAUGGUCCGGGCUGCACGCGCACUACAGUGGUCGCCGAAAUUACCUGAUAAUUUUAAAGGCGAUCGAGAGGGAAUGAGCUUUGUAAGAGGCUCAGGAACGAGGAAUUGCUAGUAAUCGCGGACUCAUUAAGACGCGAUGAAUACGUCCCUGUUCUUUGUACACACCGCCCGUCGUUAUCGAAGAUGAAGACAGGUGCGAACGAUCUACCAGAAAGUGAGCGCAGGACUUUAGAUCUGAUACAAGUCGUAACAAGGUAGCUGUAGGAGAACCUGUAGCUGG